UUCGAUCGUAGCUCCAGAUUGAACCUUUGGCGGGACUUACAUGCAAGUCGAACGGCAGCACGGACUUACCGGUCUGGUGGCGAGUGGCGAACGGGUGAGUAAUGUAUCGGAACGUGCCUAGUAGCGGGGGAUAACUACGCAGCGUAGCUAAUACCACAUACGCCCUUCGGGGGAAAGCGGGGACCUUCGGGCCUCGCACUAUGGAAGCGGCCGAUAUCAAGUUAGCUAGUUGGUGGGGUAACGGCUCACCAAGGCGACGAUCCGUAGCUGGUUUGAGAGAGGACGACCAGCCACACUGGGACUGAGACACGGCCCAGACUCCUACGGGGAGGCAGCAGUGGGGAAUUUUUGGACAAUCGGAAACCCUGAUCCAGCCAUCCCGCGUGGCGCGAUGAAGGCCUUCAGGUUGUAAAGCACUUGCAGCGGAAAGAAGCAGCUGCGGGAUAAUACCCCGUGCAACUGACCGAUACCUGCAGAAUAAGCACCGGCUAACUACGUGCCGUAGCCCGCGGUAAUACGUAGUUCAAGCGUUAAUCGGAAUUACUGGGCGUAAAGCGUGCGCAGGCGGUUCCGGAAGAAGAUGUAAAUCCCGAGCUUAACUUUGGAACUACAUUUAACUACGAGCUGAAGUGUGUCAGAGGAGGUGGAAUUCGCGUCUUAGCAGUGAAAUGCGUAGAUAUGCGGAGGAACACCGAUGGCGAAGGCAGCCUCCUGGGAUAACACUGACGCUCAUGCACGAAAGCGUGGGGAGCAAACAGGAUUAGAUACCUGGUAGUCCACGCCCUAAACGAUGUCAACUAGCUGUUGGGGCCUUCCGGGCCUUGGUAGCGCAGCUAACGCGUGAAGUUGACCGCCUGGGAGUACCGGUCGCAAGAUUAAACUCAAAGGUGACGAGGACCCGCACAAGCGGUGGAUGAUGUGGAUUAAUUCGAUGCAACGCGAAAAUAACCGCCACCCUUGACAUGUCUGAAUCCCGAAAGAGAUUUGCAGAGUGCUCGCAAGAGAACCGGAACACAGGUGCUGCAUGGCUGUCGUCAGCUCGUGUCGUGAGAUGUUGGGUUAAGUCCCGCAACGAGCGCAACCCUUGUCAUUAGUUGCUACGAAAAGGGCACUCUCUAAUGAGACUGCCGGUGAUAAACCGGAAGGUGAGGAUGACGUCAGUGCCUCGCAUUGCCAUGGGUAGGGCUUCACAAUAUGCAAUGGUCGGGACAGAGGGUCGCCAACCGCGAGGGGGAGCCAAUCCCGAAACCCGAUCGUAGUCGGAUCGCAGUCUGCAACUCGACUGCGUGAAGUCGGGGAAAUCGCCUGAUAAUCGCGGAUCAGCAUAUGUCGCGGUGAAUACGUUCCCGGGUCUUGUACACCGCCCGUCACACCAUGGGAGUGGGUUUUACCAGAAGUAAUUAUUUAACACCGUAAGGAGGGCGAUUACCACAGUAGGAUUCAUGACUGGGGUGAAGUCGUAACAAACCAAGCCUGUUACUGCAAUUCUCCCAG
rnacentral:rRNA from 1 species